AACGUACCCUUCACUACGGAAUAGUCCCGGGAAACUGGGUUUAAUACCGUAUACGCCCUUCGGGGGAAAGAAUUUCGGUGAGGGAUCGGCCCGCGUUAGAUUAGUUAGUUGGUGGGGUAAUGGCCUACCAAGACUACGAUCUAUAGCUGGUUUGAGAGGAUGAUCAGCAACACUGGGACUGAGACACGGCCCAGACUCCUACGGGAGGCAGCAGUGGGGAAUCUUAGACAAUGGGGGCAACCCUGAUCUAGCGAUGCCGCGUGAGUGAUGAAGGCCUUAGGGUCGUAAAGCUCUUUCGCCUGUGAUGAUAAUGACAGUAGCAGGUAAAGAAACCCCGGCUAACUCCGUGCCAGCAGCCGCGGUAAUACGGAGGGGGUUAGCGUUGUUCGGAAUUACUGGGCGUAAAGCGCACGUAGGCGGAUUAGUCAGUCAGAGGUGAAAUCCCAGGGCUCAACCCUGGAACUGCCUUUGAUACUGCUAGUCUUGAGUUCGAGAGAGGUAAGUGGAAUUCCGAGUGUAGAGGUGAAAUUCGUAGAUAUUCGGAGGAACACCAGUGGCGAAGGCGGCUUACUGGCUCGAUAC
rnacentral:rRNA from 1 species